AACUAACGCUAGCGGCGUGCCUAACACAUGCAAGUCGAGCGAUUUACUUCGGUAAAGAGCGGCGGACGGGUGAGUAACGCGUGGGUAACCUGCCCUGUACACACGGAUAACAUACCGAAAGGUAUGCUAAUACGGGAUAAUGUACUUUUGUCGCAUGGCAAAAGUAUCAAAGCUCCGGCGGUACAGGAUGGACCCGCGUCUGAUUAGCUAGUUGGAGAGGUAAUGGCUCACCAAGGCGACGAUCAGUAGCCGACCUGAGAGGGUGAUCGGCCACAUUGGAACUGAGACACGGUCCAAACUCCUACGGGAGGCAG
rnacentral:rRNA from 1 species